GACGAACGCUGGCGGCGUGCUUAACACAUGCAAGUCGAACGGAAAGGCCCUGCUUUUGUGGGGUGCUCGAGUGGCGAACGGGUGAGUAACACGUGAGUAACCUGCCCUUGACUUUGGGAUAACUUCAGGAAACUGGGGCUAAUACCGGAUAGGAGCUCCUGCUGCAUGGUGGGGGUUGGAAAGUUUCGGCGGUUGGGGAUGGACUCGCGGCUUAUCAGCUUGUUGGUGGGGUAGUGGCUUACCAAGGCUUUGACGGGUAGCCGGCCUGAGAGGGUGACCGGCCACAUUGGGACUGAGAUACGGCCCAGACUCCUACGGGAGGCAACAGUGGGGAAUAUUGCACAAUGGGCGGAAGCCUGAUACGGCAACGCCGCGUGCGGGAUGACGGCCUUCGGGUUGUAAACCGCUUUCGCCUGUGACGAAGCGUGAGUGACGGUAAUGGGUAAAGAAGCACCGGCUAACUACGUG
rnacentral:rRNA from 1 species